AUUGAACGCUGGCGGCAGGCCUAACACAUGCAAGUCGAGCGGAUGAAGGGAGCUUGCUCCUGGAUUCAGCGGCGGACGGGUGAGUAAUGCCUAGGAAUCUGCCUGGUAGUGGGGGAUAACGUCCGGAAACGGGCGCUAAUACCGCAUACGUCCUGAGGGAGAAAGUGGGGGAUCUUCGGACCUCCCGCUCUCAGAUGGGCCUAGGUCGGAUUAGCUAGUUGGUGGGGUAAAGGCCUACCAAGGCGACGAUCCGUAACUGGUCUGAGAGGAUGAUCAGUCACACUGGAACUGAGACACGGUCCAGACUCCUACGGGAGGCAGCAGUGGGGAAUAUUGGACAAUGGGCGAAAGCCUGAUCCAGCCAUGCCGCGUGUGUGAAGAAGGUCUUCGGAUUGUAAAGCACUUUAAGUUGGGAGGAAGGGCAGUAAGUUAAUACCUUGCUGUUUUGACGUUACCAACAGAAUAAGCACCGGCUAACUUCGUG
rnacentral:rRNA from 1 species